AGCUCUACCUUAGCUUCCCUAUUACACAAAAAACCCCCCCAAGCUUAAGAGCUAUUCAAGUAGGGCACAGCCUAUUUGAAAUAGGGCACAACCUCUAACACCGGGUAAACAAGGGUAACUUAAGUAAAGUCGGCCUAAGAGCAGCCACCUUUAAAAAAGCGUUAAAGCUUAUCUAUAAACUAUCCUCAAUUUUCUAAAUCCUCAUUAACCCUUCACCACUACUGAACUAUUUUAUAUUUUAUAAAAGCUAUAAUGCUAGAACUAGUAACAAGAAAUAAUCCUUCUCCAAAAUGUAAGCUUACACCAAAACGGACAGCCCAUUGGUAAUUAACGCAAAUGUUAUAGUCACAACAACACACCUCUAGAAAACCCUGUGACCCCCUACGUUACCCUUACACUAGAACAUCUCAGGAAAGAUAAAAAGAGAAAGAAGGAACUCGGCAAAUCCUCAGCCCCGCCUGUUUACCAAAAACAUCGCCUCUUGACCAGAUAUAAGAGGUCCAGCCUGCCCAGUGACAAAGUUCAACGGCCGCGGUACCCUAACCGUGCGAAGGUAGCAUAAUCACUUGUUCUCUAAAUAAGGACCAGUAUCAACGGCAUUACGAGGGCUGUACUGUCUCCUUUCUCCAAUCAGUGAAACUGAUCUCCCCGUGAAGAAGCGGGGAUCAUUAUAUAAGACGAGAAGACCCCAUGGAGCUUUAAACUCAUCAUUCACUUCCUCAUCUCCAUGCCCAAUAUAUAAGGGACCUGUCUGAUAGCUUUAGGUUGGGGGGACCACGGAGUACAAUUUAACCUCCAUGACAAACGGGCUAACACCCUUAUCUAUGAACUACAACUCUAAGAACCAUAAACUGAUGUUUGAUGACCCGACUAUUCGAUCAACGAACCAAGUUACCCUGGGGAUAACAGCGCAAUCUACUUCAAGAGCCCCUAUCGACAAGUAGGUUUACGACCUCGAUGUUGGAUCAGGGUAUCCUAGGGGUGCAGCCGCUCCUAAUGGUUCGUUUGUUCAACGAUUAAAACCCU
rnacentral:rRNA from 1 species